AACGAACGCUGGCGGCAGGCUUAACACAUGCAAGUCGAGCGCCCCGCAAGGGGAGCGGCAGACGGGUGAGUAACGCGUGGGAAUCUACCCAUCUCUGCGGAACAACUCCGGGAAACUGGAGCUAAUACCGCAUACGCCCUUCGGGGGAAAGAUUUAUCGGGGAUGGAUGAGCCCGCGUUGGAUUAGCUAGUUGGAGGGGUAAUGGCCUACCAAGGCAACGAUCAGUAGCUGGUCUUAGAGGACGAUCAGCCACACUGGGACUGAGACACGGCCCAGACUCCUACGGGAGGCAGCAGUAGGGAAUAUUGGACAAUGGAGGAAACUCUGAUCCAGCCAUGCCGCGUGAGUGAUGAAGGCCUUCGGGUUGUAAAGCUCUUUGAUUGGAGACAAUAAUGAUGGUAUCCAAAGAACAAGCCCCGGCUAACUCUGUGCCAGCCGCCGCGGUAA
rnacentral:rRNA from 1 species